GGCGUGCCUAAUACAUGCAAGUCGAGCGAAUGACGAGAAGCUUGCUUCUCUGAUUUAGCGGCGGACGGGUGAGUAACACGUGGGCAACCUGCCCUACAGAUUGGGAUAACUCAGGGAAACCUGGGCUAAUACCGAAUAAUCCUUCGAAUCACAUGUUUUGAAGUUGAAAGGCGCUUCGGCGUCACUGUAGGAUGGGCCCGCGGUGCAUUAGCUAGUUGGUGGGGUAACGGCCUACCAAGGCAACGAUGCAUAGCCGACCUGAGAGGGUGAUCGGCCACAUUGGGACUGAGACACGGCCCAAACUCCUACGGGAGGCAGCAGUAGGGAAUCUUCCACAAUGGACGAAAGUCUGAUGGAGCAACGCCGCGUGAGUGAUGAAGGUUUUCGGAUCGUAAAACUCUGUUGUAAGGGAAGAACAAGUACGUUAGGAAAUGAACGUACCUUGACGGUACCUUAUUAGAAAGCCACGGCUAACUACGUGCCAGCAGCCGCGGUAAUACGUAGGUGGCAAGCGUUGUCCGGAUUUAUUGGGCGUAAAGCGCGCGCAGGUGGUUUCUUAAGUCUGAUGUGAAAGCCCACGGCUCAACCGUGGAGGGUCAUUGGAAACUGGGGAACUUGAGUGCAGAAGAGGAUAGUGGAAUUCCAAGUGUAGCGGUGAAAUGCGUAGAGAUUUGGAGGAACACCAGUGGCGAAGGCGACUGUCUGGUCUGUAACUGACACUGAGGCGCGAAAGCGUGGGGAGCAAACAGGAUUAGAUACCCUGGUAGUCCACGCCGUAAACGAUGAGUGCUAAGUGUUAGGGGGUUUCCGCCCCUUAGUGCUGCAGCUAACGCAUUAAGCACUCCGCCUGGGGAGUACGACCGCAAGGUUGAAACUCAAAGGAAUUGACGGGGGCCCGCACAAGCGGUGGAGCAUGUGGUUUAAUUCGAAGCAACGCGAAGAACCUUACCAGGUCUUGACAUCCCAAUGACCGUCCUAGAGAUAGGAUUUUCCCUUCGGGGACAUUGGUGACAGGUGGUGCAUGGUUGUCGUCAGCUCGUGUCGUGAGAUG
rnacentral:rRNA from 1 species